GGCUCAACUGGGACAAGUGAUUGCAUUUUUCUUCUCAAAUGGUGGGCUACAUAACAAGAAUUUAGCAUUAGACAGGUAUGCCAGUGUUGCUGCUAGUGGAAAGUGCACCAAUAUACAUGCUACUCCAGGAUAAGGUUGGCAGAUAUGCUUUGGUCAAACACUGGCAUGCACAAGGGACGAACAAACAAACGUAGACAGCCGUCAUAUCUUGCCAUCAAGAACAAGAUUUAAGAAAAGACCUGUGGCCGUGGUCAUGUAUGAUGUAGCUCAAUCACCCCAGAAACAGAAGAUGUUAUUAAAAGUAUAAGCUGAUUCCAGUUUGGCUCUGGCAGAGUGAGGGCAGAAGAGAGGACAACAUGUUGGAGGGGAAGCCAGAGAGUUAACCAGAGAUUAAAUCCUGUUGGCUCUUACCGGACAAGGACUGGGCUUUUACUCUGAGUGAGAUCAGAAGCCAUUGCUGGGCUGGGACCGGAGGAGAUACACAGCUCACAAAACACAUCAAUACAGAGAAUUCAAACUUCUGAAAAACAUAUUGGAUGAAGAAAUGAAGUCCAAAUUAAAAUGAGGAAGUCCAGUCAGAUGACGAACUUGAACACAAAGAGCAAGCCAUUGAGCACUAGUUGGCCACAGAUGUGGAUUUAAGUUUUCUAGCUGCCAAAAUGUAAAGAGGGAAACACGAUCCUCUGCAGGACUCAACAGUAUCCCUGAGAUCGAAUCUGACAAACUGCUCAGAAGGGGCACCUAUGCUUUUCCCUGAGAUGAAUGUCUCCCAUCGUCAGAUGUCAGAUUCUGGAUCUAUUUUGACAAGAGAGCUCAAAGGAUUUCUUCACAGAUGGAAAUGAGGGGUGCUAGACCUCCAGAGAGAGAAAAUGAGACACAUAAGGUGGAAAUUACUCUGUGGUGACACACUGUGGAGUCCUGCCCACAACCCGGAUACUUGGACCCACUCCACUGAAACCUUAGGCCACAGCUAAGUUCCUUCCUUCAAAAAAUAAAUCUAAGAAAGAGGAAAAACAGGAAUGACCUCCUUUCAGGCACUCUGUUGGUUUUAUGGCGCCUCUUCUUGCGAAUGUUUGUGUAAAAUUGACAUACUGUGGUCCUUUUCUGCACAAUUACGGCAAGGAAAAUUCAGAUCGCAAAGGUCCACCUUUCAUCUGCAUCUCAUUACCGGGUAGCAGGAAUAAGUAGGCUGACCCUCAGUUUGGACCGGGAACAGCUGUAUUGGCACAGAGAUUUCAGAAAAGAAAAAGCGGGAGUUAGUAGGCCACCCUAAAAGCUGUGCCUCUACAGCGGAAAGAAACUUUGUUUUGACUCUGAGGAACGGCGCUUUUUUUCUAAACGCGAAGGGCGGGGUAAGAGCAGAGCUGCACGCAUCUGUGAAUACAUACUGCCACCAAACGGGCAUAAUUUCACCGCGACGGAGAAAGUCUGGGAGGACGUUCUCUUUGCGGCCCAAUUUCUGCUCUUUAGAUCUGGAGCAGUCCACUGAGGGACCUGAACAAGAUAAACGGGAAGGGAAAAGCGCCAGAAGUUCGAGCAGAGAACCCACCGGGCAGCCGGUGGGGGUGCCCCGGAAGUCGAUUUGCAACUGGGAGGCGGGCGGUCUGCCGAAGUGCUGCCCCGGAAGCCAUAGCAGUAGCAGAAGGACGUUCCCGCCCCGCUCCUUCCCCCGGCCCUCCCCC
rnacentral:lncRNA from 1 species